rnacentral:other from 1 species
GGCUCCCUGAAAUGUUGGCCAGUCAGUGUAGUCCUCGAGCCGUGAGUAAGUAGCCAGGGGGUACCGAGCUGUUGUCCAUGUGCAGGUCCGCAUCAGCAGCGGAAAGCCUAAGGCAUCACCUGGGCCUCCGCCUUGAACCGCGCGGUUCAGGGCAAAUCUGACAGCCGCAUUUCGGGGAGUUU